ensembl:lncRNA
CAGCAUUUUUGGCAAGCAUAUGUACAGACCACAGUAGCACAAUGCAGCAGUGUGUGAGGGCAGAUUUGUUACUGGAAUUAGUCAAAUCACAGCAAGGAAAGUGGUCAGGUCAGUCUGCUUUGUAGUCAUUCUGUUUCCAGUACCCCAAAAGUCUCUCCCACAUCUAUAAAAUAGUUCAGAGUUGGGGAAGAUGUUGUUCCCCAUAACCAACUUUUGUGUGUGCAGGGAGCAAAGUGGCCAUGCAGCUCCAUCACAAAUGUUACCUCUGAAUAUCUGUUUGCCCUAUAGGGAGGCAUUUGGUUUUUGCUUCUCUGUGACAGAGGAGAUUCUUUGCUUAUUUUCUCUGUUUCUGCAAGGACUAGACCUAAACUAAAUCUUACCAAAGCUGACUCUUGCUAUUUUAUCUUCAGGUAUCUUUCCAGGAGCAACUUCAUUAUCUGGGCAUGGGUAUGUACAGCUUGUGGGACCAUAAAAAAACCUCUCAGUAUAAAGGCAAAGAGCUUUCUCCUUCUGGGCAUAGAUGGAGUCAAGAGACUGAAUGAACCAUCCACAUCUUGCUGCAUUGUCUUCCAUUAUCUCUCAGUCUUUACAUCAGAAACACCAGAAGAAAACAUGGUGCAAUGCAGACCCUCCAUGUGCCACAGGCUGCUGGGAAUGACAGGACACAUUCUUCCAGGGCUGCCUGAUGUCUGCUCCAGAAGGAGUCCUCAGACUUACUGAUCAAGAUCCACUUCAAGACCUCAGACUGAAACCAGCUAAGGCAAAUUGGUAUUUAUUCCUGCAAGAUGCUUCAUGAGUGCUUCUAGCUUUACCUGAAAACAAAAUACAUUGACACCACAUCUUUAAUCUCACACCUGCCCAUUCCACAACUAGAUUGCUGCUGUCCUCCUGUGGGUCUACUCCAUCCCCCUUCCUCUCUGGGAGCAUCUUAUCCUGCCUUCACCCCCAAAAUCCAGCUCCCUGCAUGCCUGACAGGGCAGCAGCCCCUCAGCCCAGCCCCACAGCCUUCAUUGUCAUGGUGAAUCAGCAGCUUGAAUACCAGGUCAGUUCUCACUCGUGUGCAACUCUUUCUGCUCUGGGGAAGCUCUCAGGACCCGGGCAGGGUCAGUCCUCCCAACUCUGAGGCUCCCUCAGCCACGGUGUGAAGGCUGCUGACAGCAGGAAUUCACAGCAGCAGGGUAUCAUGCUGCUUACUGCCUGUGAAUUUGGUGUAACACGAGGAUUUUGGACAGAAGAGCCAUAUGCUGUGGCUGUGGUAAUCCUCUGCUUUUGGUCUCACAUUAAUUUUGUAACCUGUGGGGUUUGUUCCAAGUUUCAUAGUAUUUUUGCCUUCUGAAAAUACUGAGUUUUGGCCUUCUUCCUGCCAAAAGCCAAAAAUCUCCUUCAUCCUCAGGCCCAAAGGACUGGGCUGGAAGGAGGGAAGAAGCAGAGGGGAAGGCAACAGGGACUAGGCUGACCUCUUUCUCCACGUAAGGGGACCUGCUGGGAACACAGACAACCUAACAGAUUCUAAAAGCUCCCUCCUGCCCUACCCUUUCCAGAUACCCUCUCUGUUCUCAGGAGGGGGAAACAGCUCUUGAGGCAGCUUUUCUCCAAGCUGAGAGAUGGUGGAGGUCAUGUAGUCAGGAACAACUUUGAUGCUGGAGCUGUGAAGACUUGACCUGUGACUGUAGCCUGCCUCCUUGUCUUCCUGAGAUUAAAUUAUUAUAUAAAGCAACUCCAGAAAUAACACCAGUCAUUUAACAAGGGUGAAGAGUUUUUAACUCUGACUUAGCCCUGACCUGUUUUGUGAUGCUGACAGACCCAUCAGUCUGUUGUGUUCCUAGUUAUCCCUGAGAGUCUUCCCAAGUUACUCCUUGUUUUGCUAGGCGGUGAUGAAACCCAGGGAGUGACUACAGACCAGGCUUGGAGGGCUGUAAGUUCUGAAACAGCAUCUGAAAAGUUUGAGGAUGAUGGUGGGAUUUGAGCAGGUCCUGUCCUCAGCUGGGACUGCAUUCCUGCUAUUCUCAGCAGAGGAAAGCCACACUGCAUCAGUGGAAAACUGCUGGAAAUGGCUCUGAUAGCACAACAGAGGGACAGACCAUUGGACAAAAGGAAGGUGAUGCCAAAUUUUGGGGCAUGGCCGUUGGAAGGAAUGCCCUGGCAGUGCUCCAGGCUUAAAACCCCAGCUUGCCAUAGUGGGUGCUUUUCAUCCAAGCUUUCAGAGACAUCACAUCAGUUUGGUUUAGUAAAUAUUUCAACAGCGUUUUGAAGUUCCAAUGAAAACAGAGAAAACCUUUGAUGUCUACAGACCCUUUAUCCCACCACACAUCUCACCCCAUGCUUUUCAGCAACAUUGUUUAGUCAGUGCUCUCUGAGGCCAAAGGGAUACAAGGUGCAAAAUUUUAGACCCACUGAAGUCGGUAGAAAACUUUUCCCUGCUACAGUGAGGCCAGGUGCAUGCUGAAGUAAGUCAAAGAGAGCGAUUUUGGUUUCUCCCUUUCUCUCAUUAAAAAAAAAAACAACAAACAAGACAACAAAAAAACCCCAAAAAUCGAAAAAAAACACCCAAAAAGAAUUCUGCUCAGAAAACAAGAACCUCUGACAAAACCCCUAAAUGAAAUAAGCAUCAUGUGUGAGGAAUUAUUUUUAAAUUAUUCAUUUAUUUUUGCAGGAAGGGUUGUCUUGGACAUUAAUCCAUGGGAGAGAAACAAACUGAGAACUAUUUUUUUGAUGGCCAGCCUGGAAAUCCCUGCAUCACUGUAGCAGUAGCAACAAUUGUCUCCUGAAUGGAUAGACAUGGAUUUUUCAAAUUGGUUUUCCCUAAAGAAUUUUUUUCAACAAAAUUAUUAUUCUCCUGCUGAAAAUGCCUGGCCUGUAAUAUGGAUAUUUUAUGCAUAUUAAUCAUUCCAGGAAAAAUUCCUACCCAGCAAGUCUAUUCAAUGCCUUACUUAUUUUCCUUCUUUGUGUUUUGUUUUCCAAAUGUAAAUAUUAACAGUAAUUUCUAAGGCUCACAAGGAGACUCCCAAGUUUAAUAAAGCCUGUGUUGUGAGUCUUUG